UACAGAGGUCCCGAGCGUUGUUCGGAUUCACUGGGCGUAAAGGGUGCGUAGGUGGUGAGGUAAGUCGGAUGUGAAAGCUCCAAGCUCAACUUGGAAACGGCAUUGGAAACUACCUUCUAGAGGGUUUGAGGGGGGACUGGAAUACUUGGUGUAGCAGUGAAAUGCGUAGAUAUCAAGUGGAACACCAGUGGCGAAGGCGAGUCCCUGGAAACUCCUGACACUGAGGCACGAAAGCUAGGGGAGCAAACAGG
rnacentral:rRNA from 1 species